rnacentral:rRNA from 1 species
UACGGAGGGUGCAAGCGUUAAUCGGAAUUACUGGGCGUAAAGCGCACGCAGGUGGCUGAGUCAGUCGAUUGUGAAAGCCCUGGGCUUAACCUGGGAAUUGCAGUCGAUACUACUCGGCUCGAGUAUGGGAGAGGGCAGUGGAAUUCCCGGUGUAGCGGUGAAAUGCGUAGAUAUCGGGAACAACACCCGUGGCGAAGGCGGUUCUCUGGGACGGUACUGACGCUGAGACGCGAAAGCGUGGGGAGCGAACAGG